UGGGAGGUAAGUUUCUCCUAAGGCUAAAUAACGGCGAGAGACCGAUAGCGAACAAGUACCGUGAGGGAAAGAUGAAAAGAACUUUGAAAAGAGAGUUAAACAGUACGUGAAAUUGUUGAAAGGGAAACGAUUGAAGCCAGUCGUACCUAUGGGUAAUCAGCCUUUUGGGUGUGAUUUUGUGGAGCGUGAGGAGUUAAACGCCUUCACGCCUGCAUAUUCGUGCACUUUGGGUGUACUUGCCCGUGUGUAAGUUAACAUCAAUUUUGGUGGUCAUAAAAUGACUGGAAGAAUGUAGCUUCGAUCUUGUAUUGAAGUGUUAUAGCCUUUGGUAGAUGUGACGAUCGGGAUUGAGGAUUGCAACGGAUACCCUUCGGGGCUACCUGUCUGAUCUCUGAUUGUUGCUCUGGUGCCGAAAGCUUGCUUACGGUCAUCGAAAGUGAUUUUCAAAAGGUUAGAACGGGUUAAAUUCGUUAAGGAUGUUGACGUAUGGCUUUAAACGACCCGUCUUGAAACACGGACCAAGGAGUCUAACAUAUAUGCGAGUGUUUGGGUGAACAAACCCUUACGCGUAAUGAAAGUAAUUUUGGUGGGAUCACUUGUGUGCACCAUCAACC
rnacentral:rRNA from 1 species